rnacentral:rRNA from 1 species
UGGGGGAUAUUGCACAAUGGGCGAAAGCCUGAUGCAGCGACGCCGCGUGGGGGAUGAAGGCCUUCGGGUUGUAAACUUCUUUUGCUCUGAACAAGGCGCACCAUGGGGUGUGUUGAGUGUAGGGGUUGAUUAGCGCCGGCUAACUACGUGCCAGCAGCCGCGGUAAUACGUAGGGCGCGCGCGUUGUCCGGAAUUAUUGGGCGUAAAGGGCUUGUAGGUGGCUGGUUGCGUCUGUCGUGAAAGCUCAUGGCUUAACUGUGGGUUUGCGGUGGGUACGGGGUGACUUGAGUGCAGUAGGGGAGGCUGGAAUUCCUGGUGUAGCGGUGGAAUGCGCAGAUAUCAGGAGGAAUACCGGUGGCGAAGGCGGGUCUCUGGGCUGUUACUGACACUGAGGAGCGAAAGCAUGGGGAGCGAACAGG